UACGACUAAAUCCCUAAUGCCAUUAGUUGUGCAUUCAUUUCAUGAAAGCAACCAGCCUUCAAAUUCAAGGUUUGUUCAAGUCGUCAUCGACAACCUCUGUUUAGAUUAAGUUCAAGCUUUGUUCAAGUCGUCAUUAUCAACCUCCAUUUAAGACAAGUUUAUCAUCUUGAUUUCAGGUAUUAUCGGUGACCUUUUAAUUUGUUUUUCAACCUUAGAAAGAAAGAAAGUAGGAAAGAAAGAAAACCAGAACUUCUGUAUUGCAUUGAAAAUAAAUUAGUUUGUGUUCCUCUAUUUUUUUAUUGUUUAUUACAGACUUUUGCUUUGAUCUUGAGAUAUACUUGAUGGAUAAUGUGGUGAAGACCAGGAAUUUUAAUAUCUUGACAUGGUGGAAAGCUUAAUCUAGUAAAUAUUCAAUAGUUUCAAAUAUUGCAAGGGAUGUUCUUUCUAUUUCUAUUUCUAAUGUUGCAUCUGAGUCGGCUUUUAGUACAGGUGGUCGAGUUCUUGAUUCUUAUCGGAGUUUUUUAUCACCAAAAAUAGUAGAAGCUCUUAUUUGUACUCAACAAUGGAUACGAUCACCUUCCAAGGAAUACAAAUUUGAAGAAAUGUUGGAGGAAGUCCAGAAAAUUGAGCAAGUUGAAGAAGAAUAUCCAGACUCACCUUUGAGGAUUGAUUAGAGGGAUAGUUAACUAUAAUUUUCUCCAGGACUAUUUUUGAAAUCUUGACUACUUAAAGGCAUUACAAAAGAUUAUCCCAAGGAAAAGGAUGGAACUACAUUGAAUCUCCCAAAGACUGAAAUUUGGGCCAUCAAGCCUUUACUAACAUUCUGGAAUAUGCUCCUCUGGUUUAAGAUGCCCAACUUCUUAGAGUUUAAUAUAUUCUCUUUUUAUUUAUUUUCUAUGACUCUUGGCUGUAGUGUCUACUCUUAAAAUGUUGGUGAUAAUUCAUAUGUAGAGUGCAAUAUAAUUUGCAAUUUAUCUUUUUGGCAGUCCAUGAGUCUUAGCUGUAAUUCUAUGACUCUUGGUUGUAACUAUUUACAAAUGUUUCAGGUAAUUCUACGACUCUUGACUAUAA